GCUUUCAUGGUCUAGAGGUAUGAUUCUCGCUUCGGGUGCGAGAGGUCUCGGGUUCGAUUCCCGAUGAAAGCC